rnacentral:misc_RNA from 1 species
UCCGGUUUAUCACCGACAGUUUCCUUAGGGUUCUCGACUUGACUCGUUAGCAACUAAGGACAAGGGUCGCGCUCGUUGCGGGACUUAACCCAACACCUCUCGGCACGAGCAGACGACAGCCAUGCACCACCUGCGCAUAAGUCCCUUGCGGGAGGUUCUGGCUUUCACCAAAAUUUCCUAUGCAUGUCAAACCCAGGUAAGGUUCUUCGCGUUGCCUCGAAUUAAACCACACGCUCCGCUGCUUGUGCGGGCCCCCGCCUAUUCCUUUGAGUUUUAGCCUUGCAGCCGUACUCCCCAGGCGGACCACUUAGUGCGUUAGCUACGGCACGGGAGGGGUCGAUACCCCCCGCACCUAGUGGUCACCGUUUAGGGCGUGGACUAC